CUCAAAAGGACAAUUACUGGUGCUACACAGCAACCCACUGCCACUGCCCCACCUAUUGCAACAGCUGAGAGAAAUUUGGAAAAUCAUGUUGGACUUAGAGUGCCCAGCUGGAACAGGCACCCGCUAGCACCUAGACCACCUCCACCUACUACAACGGUUGAGAGAGAUUUGCAAAAUCCUGUUGGACUUAGAGUGCCCAGCUGGAACAGGAAACCGCCACCACCCAAACCAUGCAUACCAGUUAGAAGAGUGUCUAAUCGAAUUAGGGCCAUGGUGCGGAGUGUUCCAAUUCAAAAGGG